rnacentral:rRNA from 1 species
AUUGAACGCUGGCGGCAGGCUUAACACAUGCAAGUCGAGCGGGGUGAUGGUGCUUGCACUAUCACUUAGCGGCGGACGGGUGAGUAAUGCUUAGGAAUCUGCCUAUUAGUGGGGGGCAACAUCUCGAAAGGGAUGCCAAUACCGCAUACGUCCUACGGGGGAAAGCAGGGGAUCACUUGUGACCUUGCGCUAAUAGAUGAGCUUAAGUCGGAUUAGCUAGUUGGUGGGGUAAAGGCCUACCAAGGCGACGAUCUGUAGCGGGUCUGAGAGGAUGAUCCGCCACACUGGGACUGAGACACGGCCCAGACUCCUACGGGAGGCAGCAGUGGGGAAUAUUGGACAAUGGGGGGAACCCUGAUCCAGCCAUGCCGCGUGUGUGAAGAAGGCCUUAUGGUUGUAAAGCACUUUAAGCGAGGAGGAGGCUCUUUUGGUUAAUACCCAGAAUGAGUGGACGUUACUCGCAGAAUAAGCAUCGGCUAACUCUGUGCCAGCCGCCGCGGUAAGAC